rnacentral:lncRNA from 1 species
GGAUGGAAAUAUGGAUGUGGAGUUUAAUAGAAGAGAGUUGUUUGUCUGGGAAAAGGAAUAAGUGAGGUGGAGGAGAUUCUAAGAAGGGUGGAAAUGAAAGAACAACUGCAAGAAGGGAAGUAGAAAGCAAGCAUGAGUGGUCAGUAUGCAAUGAAAUAUGCUUAUGUGAUAAUACAGGGGCAGCAAGCUAUGGGUCAACAUGAGAAAAGUUAUAAAGAAGUAUGUAUAUGGGAGACAGAAGUACCACCAAAGGUAAGCUUCUUUUUUUUUUUUUUUUUUUUUUUUUGUGAAGAAUGAUUACAAAUUGGCUUCCAACUAGGGACCAACUGUGUAAAAGAAGUUUUCUUCGGGAAAGCUUAGCUAGAAGCUUCCCCAAGUGUAAGGAUAAUCCAAACACCAUAUCUCAUGUUCUGUUCAAUUGCAGGAUGUUUGAUUGGGUAUGAAAAUAUUGCAAUUGAUGAGUGAGCAUUAAUAGUGUUUUCCCCGAGUUAGCAGAAACACGUUUCUAUCAGCAUAAAUAGAGGCUGUGUAUUAAAUAAAGAACUAUGGUUUAGAUUGUAGUUUGCAAUUAUCUGGUGUAUAUGGAAAGAGGGAAAUAGUGUUUGAUGGAACGGAAAAUGUUUUGCGGACAGGAUGUGAUGCAACACAUCAAGAUAUAUUAUUGGAAGUGGUAUAAACUGACUGAUAAGGAGAGAUGUUCCACGUUUAUCCAAUGGUGUGCCAACCCUGAAAUAUGCAUAAGAAACUUGUUUUACUAAUGAGUUGGCUAUGUGAAAGUUUAAAAAUAGGAUCUUGUAUUUUGUAGAAGUUUAUGGUGUAGUCACUAGGUUCUCUAUGUUUUGGGUUUUGACCGCGUCUGUGAACUAAGGAACUAUGUAGGAAACAAAAUUCUUUGAUUGUUCAGUUUAGGUACGUAAAAAAGGGAGGUCUACCUUGUACCCUAUAUAUAAUAUAUGUAUCAUUGCAGGAAAACAAAAUCAUAUUGAUUACAGUUUAAUUUAAAAUUGUAUGUAGAUAAUACUUUAAUAUGAAAGAUUAAAGGUCAAUCGGUAGGUAAUAUUUAAACUAUGGAAGGAAUUAACUUUUUACUGUAAAUAAAAUACCCUUUGUGCAAAAAGAAAAAGAAAAGGUUUUAGGCAGGAAUUAUGACUGGAGGUUGCAGCUAUUUACUCCUGUCGGUCUUCACAUCUACAACUUAAAACAACAGUUUUUUCCCCCACUUGAAUUCACGUGAAACCACCAAUAAGAAACUGUUACCAGAAUUGCAAUCCCAAAAAAGUUGGUAGCAUUUAAUACCAAAGGAAUCGGUAAGGCAAAGUGGAAACUAUCACUAUCUUUUUAAACGAAAGAUGGAACAUAAAACAGAUUGCAUGAAGUGACCUACUUACUCAAUUAGUUUAUACACUUGAAACGCUUUACACAUAGGCAACAAAUUGCAUACGCUCUCACUUGAAUGAGACGAGAGCUUAAAUGAGAUAAAAAUACUAGAAACCAAAGGCAGGCAAUUAAAAUCACCUGUUCUGCUCAUUAAUCCAAACAGUUGAAAACAAGUAUUGACUUUGCAGGAUUUCCAGUUGGCCCAAUCACUCCAUAAAUGCCGCAGCAAAGCAGAUGGUAGUGAUAAAUAAAUCAUCUGAAUUUCUGAACAAAUUAAUGCUAUUAG